UACGUAGGUGACAAGCGUUGUCCGGAUUUACUGGGCGUAAAGAGCGCGCAGGCGGUCGAUCAAGUCGAGUGUGAAAGCCCACGGCUCAACUGGGGAGGGUCAUUCGAUACUGAUCGACUCGAAGGCAGGAGAGGGUAGUGGAAUUCCCGGUGUAGUGGUGAAAUGCGUAGAUAUCGGGAGGAACACCAGUGGCGAAGGCGACUACCUGGCCUGUUCUUGACGCUGAGGAGCGAAAGCGUGGGGAGCGAACAGG
rnacentral:rRNA from 1 species